rnacentral:other from 1 species
UUUCCCCUGCCGUGUUCGUGAUUGGAAGAUGUUCUUUGACCCAACACUUAUUAAACGGGAGUUUUCACUUGUUUUGGCGUGCAGUUCUGUGAAUGCGGAAUUGCCUAAAGAAACUAUAAAACACCCACUUUUACUACCAGGAUCAAAGACCUGCCAACACGGCACCUAGGUGGGGGCACC